UACGUAGGGGGCAAGCGUUGUCCGGAAUCAUUGGGCGUAAAGCGCGUGUAGGCGGUUCGAUAAGUCUGCUGUGAAAGUCCAGGGCUCAACCCUGGGAUGCCGGUGGAUACUGUCGGGCUAGAGUGCGGAAGAGGCGAGUGGAAUUCCUGGUGUAGCGGUGAAAUGCGCAGAUAUCAGGAGGAACACCAAUUGCGAAGGCAGCUCGCUGGGACGUUACUGACGCUGAGACGCGAAAGCGUGGGGAGUAAACAGG
rnacentral:rRNA from 1 species